UACGUAGGGGGCGAGCGUUGUCCGGAUUUAUUGGGCGUAAAGAGCUCGUAGGCGGUUUGGCAAGUCGGGUGUGAAAACUCCGGCUCAACUCGGAGACGCCACUCGAUACUGCUAUGACUCGAGUCCGGUAGGGGAGUGCGGAAUUCCUGGUGUAGCGGUGAAAUGCGCAGAUAUCAGGAGGAACACCGAUGGCGAAGGCAGGAUCUCUGGGCCGAUACUGACGUGGAGGAGCGAAAGCGUGGGGAGCGAACAGG
rnacentral:rRNA from 1 species